rnacentral:rRNA from 1 species
UACGUAGGGUCCGAGCGUUGUCCGGAAUUAUUGGGCGUAAAGGGCUCGUAGGCGGUCUGUUGCGUCGGGAGUGAAAACUUACAGCUUAACUGUGAGCGUGCUUUCGAUACGGGCAGACUUGAGGCAUUCAGGGGAGAACGGAAUUCCUGGUGUAGCGGUGGAAUGCGCAGAUAUCAGGAGGAACACCGGUGGCGAAGGCGGCAUCCUGGACCGGUAUUGACGCUGAGGCGCGAAAGCCAGGGGAGCAAACGGG